rnacentral:rRNA from 1 species
GGCGACCGGGUGAGUAACACGUGACUACCUACCCUUGAGUGGGGGAUAACCUCGGGAAACCGAGGCUAAUACCGCAUAAUAUCGAAAGAUCAAAGGAGUAAUCCGCUUUUGGAGGGGGUCGCGGCUGAUUAGCUAGUUGGUAGGGUAAUGGCCUACCAAGGCGAAGAUCGGUAUCCGGCCUGAGAGGGCGCACGGACACACUGGAACUGAAACACGGUCCAGACUCCUACGGGAGGCAGCAGUGGGGAAUUUUGCGCAAUGGGGGAAACCCUGACGCAGCAACGCCGCGUGGAGGAUGAAGCCCCUUGGGGUGUAAACUCCUUUCGACUGGGAAGAUUAUGACGGUACCAGUGGAAGAAGCACCGGCUAACUCUGUGCCAGCAGCCGCGG